CGCCGCCCGCCUGCCCCGCUGCCGCGGGACGAGGAUCGGCGGUGCCGCGCGAGCAUGGCGGCGUGGCGGGACCUGCUAUUCUCCCAGCUCGGCCCCGUCUGCCGCGGGGGCAGGGACUGGCCGAGGGGAGGCUGGCGGCAUCCGCGCCGCCGCGGCCGGGACGAGGGCAGCCGCGAACCCACGGUCUCCGCGCCGCAUGAGACCCCCAGAUCUUGGAUAGAGGAAGUGUUCAGUAAAAGAGAAUGUGCAAACAUUAUUCCCUAUUUAAAAGAUCCUCACAGAUGUCCUGCAGGAUGCCAGGUGUGCCAGAAUUUAAUCAGGUAAAAGUGCAAAAAUAGUUUAUAUAUGAUUUUUGUAAUGACUUAAAGCUAGCAAUGGACAUUCCUGCUCUAGGAAGAAGCAACAACAAAAAAAUCCUUCCUCUUACAGUGUCAAAACACCAUUUCUAAGGGUCUGGGGGGAAAGUUUACCAUAAAC
rnacentral:lncRNA from 1 species